UACGUAGGGGGCAAGCGUUGUCCGGAUUUAUUGGGCGUAAAGAGCGUGUAGGCGGUUUUACAGGUCCGCUGUGAAAACUCGAGGCUCAACCUCGAGCUGUCGGUGGAAACCGUCUGGCUAGAGUCCGGAAGAGGAGAGUGGAAUUCCUGGUGUAGCGGUGAAAUGCGCAGAUAUCAGGAAGAACACCCGUGGCUAAGGCGGCUCUCUAGUACGGUACUGACGCUGAGACGCGAAAGCGUGGGGAGCGAACAGG
rnacentral:rRNA from 1 species